rnacentral:ncRNA from 1 species
ACAGAUGGUGAUUAAAAGGGAAUCGGGUGUAAAUCCCGGACAGUCCCGCUGCUGUGAAACUCUAUGCAAUAUCUUAUGAAUAAACUAAUAACACGUCACUGAUGCAGAAUCGGGAAGACACAUAAGAUAGGAGUCAGUCAGAAGACCUGCCAAUUCAAGU